GGACCUCUGACCUCACGGAGGACGGUGGUGAUGAGGUGAAAGAAGCCUCCAAGGGCGACGCCUGCGAGGGCCAGUAAAAUGGGAAGAUCGAUCGAUCGAUGGCUCCGCAUGUUAUUGGAGACCAUCGAUUUAGAUGCCUCAUGCUGCUGUCACCAUGAUGGAUGGAUUCUUCUCCUGUUCUACUAGAAUGUUUUUCUUCCUGUCCCCCCUUCCUCUCUCUUCUCUGGUUUUUACUAGGGUGGUAGCGGUCGAAUUAGUUCUUCCCAUUGCUUUGCAUUUGGUGCUAGUGGUCCGUCUGGGCUGAUUGUUUUCCUCUGGAUAUGACUCUCGUGUGUGUUGUCUCCAGAUAGUGUUUUAU
rnacentral:misc_RNA from 1 species